AUGAACGCUGGCGGCGCAUUUAAGACAUGCAAGUCGAACGAAAACGAACAAAUUAAGAAGAGUGGAAGAUUUAUCUGAAAUGAUUUUUAGACCGUGAGUUUUAGUGGCGGACGGGUGAGUAAUACAUAGAUAAUCUGCCUUUUAGAGGGAAAUAACUAGGAGAAAUCCAAGCUAAUGUCCCAUAAGACCACAUUAUCGCAUGAUAGAGAGGUCAAAGGAGAAAUCCGCUAGAAGAUGAGUCUAUGGCUGAUUAGUUAGUUGGUGGGGUAAGAGCUUACCAAGACAAUGAUCAGUAGCCGAGCUGAGAGGCUGGCCGGCCACAUUGGGACUGAGACACGGCCCAGACUCCUACGGGAGGCAGCAGUUGGGAAUAUUGGACAAUGGAGGAAACUCUGAUCCAGUGACGCCGCGUGAAGGAAGAAGGUCUUCGGAUUGUAAACUUAUUUUAUCAGGGAAGAAAUAAAUGACAGUACCUGAAGAAGAAGGACCGGCUAACUACGUGCCAGCAGCCGCGGUAAUACGUAGGGUCCGAGCGUUAUCCGGAUUUACUGGGUGUAAAGGGCGAGUAGACGGAACUGCAAGUCAGAUGUGAAAUGCUAGAGCUCAACUUUAGAACUGCAUCUGAAACUGUGGAACUAGAGUGCAGGAGAGGUAAGCGGAAUUCCUAGUGUAGCGGUGAAAUGCGUAGAUAUUAGGAGGAACACCAGUGGCGAAGGCGGCUUACUGGACUGUAACUGACGUUGAGGCGCGAAAGUGUGGGGAGCAAACAGGAUUAGAUACCCUGGUAGUCCACACUGUAAACGAUGGAUACUAGGUGUAGGCAUGAAUGUGUCUGUGCCGUCGCAAACGCAGUAAGUAUCCCACCUGGGGAGUACGGCCGCAAGGUUGAAACUCAAAGGAAUUGACGGGGGCCCGCACAAGCGGAGGAACAUGUGGUUUAAUUCGAUGAUACGCGAGGAACCUUACCCGGGCUUAAAUUGCAGAUGAAUUACGGUGAAAGCCGUAAGCCGCAAGGCAUCUGUGAAGGUGCUGCAUGGUUGUCGUCAGCUCGUGUCGUGAGAUGUUGGGUUAAGUCCCGCAACGAGCGCAACCCUCGUGAUUAGUUGCCUUGAAGAAAGGAACUCUAAUCAGACUGCCGUAGUUAAUACGGAGGAAGGUGAGGAUGAUGUCAAAUCAUCACGUCCCUUAUGUCUUGGGCUACACACGUACUACAAUGGGUGUUACAAAGAGAAGCGAAACCGUAAGGUGGAGCAAAACUGAAAAAAGCAUCCCUAGUUCGGAUUGUAGGCUGCAACCCGCCUACAUGAAGCUGCAAUUGCUAGUAAUCAUAGGUCAGCAUACUAUGGUGAAUACGUUCCCGGGCCUUGUACACACCGCCCGUCACACCAUGAGAGUUGAGAAUACCCGAAGUCCAUGUAAAAGUGGCCGAAGGUAGGCUUGAUGAUUGGGGUG
rnacentral:rRNA from 1 species